UCCAAUUCGAGGAUUAUUGAAGUUUGAUUCUAUAAGAGAGACUUUUGGGCUAAAAAUGAGGCAUUUCAGCAUGAAUUUGAAAGAAACAAAGGAGCACAAAAAGCGGAGGUCAGGACUGGAUCUCGGCCACAAUCGUGGUUGGGUUGUGGCAGAGAAGCAGUGCUCGCCACGAGCCAGCUCGUGCACAUGGUCGAGGAGUGGGUAGACUAAGUAUCCCGGCCACGAUCCUCACGCACGCAUUUUGAAGAGUUCCGGGAUUUUUGAGUAUAAAUAACUUGUUUUUAGUAGAUUUUAGGGAGAGCUUAGAUUAGAUUUCAUUUUGUACUUCAAUUGUACUUCUUUCUACUCUAGAACUCUCUUAAAACUAAAGAAAACCUAAGUGCAAGAGACUUGACAAAUCUCAAAUCCUUGGUGAUUU